GUGAGGAAUAUUGGACAAUGGAUGGAAAUCUGAUCCAGCCAUGCCGCGUGCAGGAAGACGGCCCUAUGGGUUGUAAACUGCUUUUAUACGGGAGCAAUAAGGUCUAUGCAUAGAUUGAUGAGAGUACCGUAUGAAUAAGCAUCGGCUAACUCCGUGCCAGCAGCCGCGGUAAUACGGAGGAUGCGAGCGUUAUCCGGAUUUAUUGGGUUUAAAGGGUGCGUAGGCGGCUUUGUAAGUCAGCGGUGAAAUUUUGCAGCUUAACUGUAAAAGCGCCGUUGAUACUGUGAAGCUAGGAUGUGGUUGCUGUGGGCGGAAUGUGUGGUGUAGCGGUGAAAUGCAUAGAGAUCACACAGAAUAUCGAUUGCGAAGGCAGCUCACAAAGCCAAUAUUGACGCUGAGGCACGAAAGUGUGGGGAUCAAACAGGAUUAGAAACCCGGGUAGUCC
rnacentral:rRNA from 1 species